rnacentral:rRNA from 1 species
AAUGACGAGGUUUGUGACUGAGCGGCGGACGGGUGAGUAACGCGUGGGCAACCUGCCUCAAAGAGGGGGACAACAGUUGGAAACGACUGCUAAUACCGCAUAAGCCCACGGUGCCGCAUGGCACAGAGGGAAAAGGAGCAAUCCGCUUUGAGAUGGCCUCGCGUCUGAUUAGCUAGUUGGUGAGGUAACGGCCCACCAAGGCGACGAUCAGUAGCCGGACUGAGAGGUUGACCGGCCACAUUGGGACUGAGAUACGGCCCAGACUCC